rnacentral:rRNA from 1 species
CGAGUGGCGAACGGGUGAGUAAUACAUCGGAACGUGUCCGCUCGUGGGGGACAACCAGCCGAAAGGUUGGCUAAUACCGCAUGAGUUCUACGGAAGAAAGAGGGGGACCCGCAAGGGCCUCUCGCGAGCGGAGCGGCCGAUGACUGAUUAGCCGGUUGGUGAGGUAACGGCUCACCAAAGCAACGAUCAGUAGCUGGUCUGAGAGGACGACCAGCCACACGGGGACUGAGACACGGCCCAGACUCCUACGGGAGGCAGCAG